CUGGCUCAGGACGAACGCUGGCGGCGUGCCUAAUACAUGCAAGUCGAGCGGACAGAUGGGAGCUUGCUCCCUGAUGUUAGCGGCGGACGGGUGAGUAACACGUGGGUA
rnacentral:rRNA from 5 species